UGUUAAUAUAACGCUAGUGAGUUUUAUUAUUUCUUGAAGUCGUUUCUUCUACGGUUAUUUCAACAUUCAAUAUUUUACACGGACACCGAAUCUCUUUCGACUAACUGCGUUCUUAUUUUAUAAAAGAAUGAAAAAACUUACUGAAGAAUAAAUAUGCAGGUGUCAAAAGAAUUGAAAACCGAAUAUAAGUGGAACAUUAAAUGGAAACUUGUAAUAAUGUUUCUAUAUCUCCAUAUAGGCUGCAUAUAUGGAUUAUUUUUAAGUGUAACCGCACUAAAUUUCUAUACUAUAAUAUUCAUGAUAAUAACAAUACCGAUAACAUUAAUCGGUGUUACUGCAGGUACUCAUAGAUUAUGGUCACAUAAAGCAUACAAAGCUAAAUGGCCGAUGAGACUAAUACUGAUGAUUUGCCAAACAAUGGCGUUUCAA